rnacentral:rRNA from 1 species
UUGGUGAGGUAACGGCUCACCAAGUCAACGAUCGGUAGCCGGACUGAGAGGUUGACCGGCCACAUUGGGACUGAGACACGGCCCAGACUCCUACGGGAGGCAGCAGUGGGGAAUAUUGCACAAUGGGCGAAAGCCUGAUGCAGCAACGCCGCGUGAGGGAAGACGGUUUUCGGAUUGUAAACCUCUGUCCUCGGUGAAGAAAAAAAUGACGGUAGCCGAGGAGGAAGCCACGGCUAACUACGUGCCAGCAGCCGCGGUAAUACGUAGGUGGCAAGCGUUGUCCGGAAUUACUGGGUGUAAAGGGAGCGCAGGCGGGACAGCAAGUCAGCGGUGAAAUACAUGGGCUUAACCCAUGAACUGCCGUUGAAACUGCCGUUCUUGAGUGGAUCAGAGGCAAGCGGAAUUCCGAGUGUAGCGGUGAAAUGCGUAGAUAUUCGGAGGAACACCAGUGGCGAAGGCGGCUUGCUGGGGUCUAACUGACGCUGAGGCUCGAAAGUGUGGGGAGCAAACAGGAUUAGAUACCCUGGUAGUCCACACUGUAAACGAUGAUUACUAGGUGUGGGGGGUCUGACCCCCUCCGU